rnacentral:misc_RNA from 1 species
GAUGAAGAACGUAGCGAAAUGCGAUACGUAAUGUGAAUUGCAGAAUUCAGUGAAUCAUCGAAUCUUUGAACGCAUAUUGCGCUCUUUGGUAUUCCGAAGAGCAUGCUUGUUUGAGUAUCAGUAAACACCUCAAGCUCUUCUUGAUUUUUCAAAAGGAGGGUGGACUUGAGCUAUCCCAACAACCUUUACCGGUCGGCGGGCGGCUUGAAAUGCAGGUGCAGCUGGACUUUUAUCUGAGCUAAAAGCAUAUCUAUUUAGUCCUCGUCAAACAGGAUUAUUACUUUUGCUGCAGCUAACAUAAAGGAUAAUUGUCCUCUUUGCUGACUGAUGCAGGAUUUUACGACACUUUAUGUGUUGUUCAACUCGAUCUCAAAUCAAGUAAGACUACCCGCUGAACUUAAGCAUAUCAAUAAGCGGAGGA